UACGAAGGGUGCAAGCGUUAAUCGGAAUUACUGGGCGUAAAGCGCGCGUAGGUGGUUCAGCAAGUUGAAGGUGAAAUCCCCGGGCUCAACCUGGGAACUGCCUCCAAAACUACUGAGCUAGAGUACGGUAGAGGGUAGUGGAAUUUCCUGUGUAGCGGUGAAAUGCGUAGAUAUAGGAAGGAACACCAGUGGCGAAGGCGACUACCUGGACUGAUACUGACACUGAGGCACGAAGGCCAGGGGAGCAAACGGG
rnacentral:rRNA from 1 species